UUUUAUAUGCAUGUCUUGAUAUGUGGGAGGUUCAACACUGAAGAGUUCACUGAAUUUGUUUCUGCUGCGUCUGGGAUCUGGAGCAAUGCAUUAAUGCGGUAGGAAAUUGACAAGUAACAAGACAACGGCGUUUCAGCAGGUUUGUUUUUUACCUUACAGCUCGAGUCGUUUUCAGCUUGUCUUGCUUAACUUGUAUCGUUUUGGUCAAGUGGGCACCAGUCCUUGUUACUGCUGUUCCAUUUGCAGGUUUUGACACCCUGGAUAACCAUUUGCUCCUUAGUGGAAUAAGUGAACCAUAAGAAAGAAAAUGAAAAAUGAAAUCUCACAAGUGGGUUAUUUCCCUUUGACUGGUUGGCUUACCAAAUUUACAUGGGGCAUUGUUUGGAAUGGUUUUUCACACAUUUAGACUACUACUCUUUCGACUGAUAAUGAUAUAUCAAACAUGCCUCUGUUAAUCUGUUUCAAACAGAAAGGCAUGCAUGUCCUUUUUGUACGAAGAGUCACAAGUCAGAACCCAUCUGUUAGCAUCUAGACUUAAAUCCCAGAUCUCAAUCGUUUUUCACAGGAGAUACAUUUCAUUCUUUAUUUCAGAUGAAGCUGAAAUUUUUACUUGACAGUUCAAAAUCUGUAUUUGUCAACCGACACCUUAUUACCAAGAUGUCCAAAAUGAUUUUUUGUAUUUGUUAAUGGAUGUAACUUCCUAGGUAAACAGUUAUAGUGUACCUAAUGGAAGUGACAAGAGCAAAAACAGACCAGGCAAAAAGUGAAAAAGAACAAUUACGCACCAAAAGGAACUACUGUUUUUUGCAUGCUUAGAAAACAUGUACACUGAGAAAAUCAGGUAUAAUUGCAUUAGGAAUCAGGAGUCGGGAUUCUGAGAAGCAGCAAGAAACAGAGCACCAGCUCCAGAGCCACCAUGAGCAUGUUCAAUUAUUAUGUUGCCUGAGAGCUCAUCCCCAAGCAUUUCCCAAACACUGCUGUGAAGAUAAUUUCUGAAGAUUCUGUAGUGCUCAUAAAGCCCGCCUUCUAUUGUAAUAACACUCCUUCUGUUGGCUAUUCUCCCAAGCUUCUUUGUAAUGGCCACAAUGCCUGCUCCAGCCAGACGGGCUCCGCGUUCUGUUACGAUGUCACAUACCUCUGCAACAAUUUCUCUUGCCAUUUCUGUAGAAUUGGUGAUCUGAGGUUGAUGAAAUGUCAGAGUUAAAAGAAGAGAAAUUUCCACUUUUAAUCAGUUUGAAAAUCUAACAUCUUGGUUUCAAGAAUGAGAGUAGUAGUAUACAGAGUACUUAGGAAUUGAUUAAUUUCAAUUUGGUGACAUAGAAAAGAUCCUUAACAUUCAAUAGUAGGAUUCAUUUUAAGCUUUCAAGG
rnacentral:lncRNA from 1 species